rnacentral:rRNA from 1 species
AUUGAACGCUGGCGGCAUGCUUUACACAUGCAAGUCGAACGGCAGCGCGGGCUUCGGCCUGGCGGCGAGUGGCGAACGGGUGAGUAAUAUAUCGGAACGUACCCAAGAGUGGGGGAUAACGUAGCGAAAGUUACGCUAAUACCGCAUACGAUCUAAGGAUGAAAGCAGGGGAUCGCAAGACCUUGUGCUCCUGGAGCGGCCGGUAUCUGAUUAGCUAGUUGGUGAGGUAAAGGCUCACCAAGGCAACGAUCAGUAGCUGGUCUGAGAGGACGACCAGCCACACUGGAACUGAGACACGGUCCAGACUCCUACGGGAGGCAGCAGUGGGGAAUUUUGGACAAUGGGGGCAACCCUGAUCCAGCAAUGCCGCGUGAGUGAAGAAGGCCUUCGGGUUGUAAAGCUCUUUUGUCAGGGAAGAAAAGGCUGUGGCUAAUAUCCACAGCUGCUGACGGUACCUGAAGAAUAAGCAUCGGCUAACUACGUGCCAGCAGCCGCAGUAA